rnacentral:rRNA from 1 species
CAGCAGUGGGGAAUAUUGCACAAUGGGCGCAAGCCUGAUGCAGCCAUGCCGCGUGUAUGAAGAAGGCCUUCGGGUUGUAAAGUACUUUCAGCAGUGAGGAAGGUGGAUAUGUUAAUAGCAUAUUCAUUUGACGUUAGCUGCAGAAGAAGCACCGGCUAACUCCGUGCCAGCAGCCGCGGUAAUACGGAGGGUGCGAGCGUUAAUCGGAAUUACUGGGCGUAAAGCGCAUGCAGGUGGUUGUUAAGUCAGAUGUGAAAGCCCGGGGCUCAACCUCGGAAUUGCAUUUGAAACUGGCAAACUAGAGUACUGUAGAGGGGGUAGAAUUUCAGGUGUAGCGGUGAAAUGCGUAGAGAUCUGAAGGAAUACCGGUGGCGAAGGCGGCCCCCUGGACAGAUACUGACACUCAGAUGCGAAAGCGUGGGGAGCAAACAGGAUUAGCUACCCUGGUAG